CCCCUAGACGUUCUGGGCUGCACGCGCGCUACAAUAAUACGCACAGCGAGUAUCACCGAGCUCGAAAGGGCAAGGUAAACAAUAGAAAAGGUACUGUAAUGGUUAUAGAUCCUUGUAAUUAUUGAUCUUCAACGAGGAAUUCCUAGUAAGUAUGUGUCAUCAUCACGCACUGAUUACGUCCCUGCCCUUUGUACACACCGCCCGUCGCUCCUACCGAUUGGGUGAGCCGAUGAAACUCUCGGAUGUAGGCUAUUCAUAGCCCGUAGAAGAGAUUUGAAUCGUAGCGCUUAGAGGAAGGAGAAGUCGUAACA
rnacentral:rRNA from 1 species